UCAAAGGACAGAUAAUUGUUAUUUACAAAACACAAAAUUUUAGGAGGGCUUGUAACAUUUUGUUUUUUAACCUUUUACGUUUUGGUAAGUCACUUUAUUCAUAUAACAUUUCUUUCAUAUAACACUUCACACUUCAGUUAUUUAACUCGAUUUAAGAAAAAUGCCUCCUCGCAAGCGAAGCAAGGCAUCAAAGGCAGCCCGGCAAGACCUGUCUGGAGACCUGGGACCCACCGUCGCUUCAGCCCCCGAGAGUGGAGCCGUCUCGAGCUACGAAAACGCACCUGUGUUGGCUCCAAUCAAGCCGGCUGCCAAGAGCUGGCUGAGCUGGGGCAGUCGGCAGGCGGCGCCGACCGAGGGUCAGCCACAGGAGCAGUACACGUCCACGGCUUCAACUCCUGCCGGCCUGGCUGCUCAGUGGCUGGCCUCGCUCCACGUAUUCGCCCGCCGCCAUCCCAUCGUCACAUCCGUGGCCGGAAUAAUGACCGUCAAAACCGUUCUACAACUGACCGGUCUCGACUUCUGCUUCAUUCGCAUUCCUUAGUAUGUUGAUUUAUCAUUUAUUUUGUUUGUCCAAUAAUACAAGUCUGAAGUCUAA